CCUACGGGAGGCAGCAGUGGGGAAUAUUGCACAAUGGGGGAAACCCUGAUGCAGCGACGCCGCGUGAGCGAAGAAGUAUCUCGGUAUGUAAAGCUCUAUCAGCAGGGAAGAAAAUGACGGUACCUGACUAAGAAGCCCCGGCUAACUACGUGCCAGCAGCCGCGGUAAUACGUAGGGGGCAAGCGUUAUCCGGAUUUACUGGGUGUAAAGGGGGCGCAGGCGGCGCGGUAAGUCUGAUGUGAAAGCCCGGGGCUCAACCCCGGGACUGCAUUGGAAACUGUCGUGCUGGAGUGUCGGGGGGGCAAGUGGAAGUGCGGGUGUAGCGGUGAAAGGCGUAGAUAUUAGGAGGAACACCAGUGGCGAGGCGGCUUGCUGGCUGACAACUGACGCUGAGGCUCGAAAGCGUGGGGAGCAAACAGGAUUAGAUACCCCAGUAGUC
rnacentral:rRNA from 1 species